AGUCAAGGCUGUCGCCGGCAACGUGCACGCCUUCCUUGUUCCGUGGACCCCCCUUUCUAGUUUCCUUAUCCACCUGUGCACCCUUUGUAGGCCCUCGAAAGAGGAUCUACGUUUUCUCUAUAUACGCUUUUUGCUACACAUGUCCAGAAUGUAUACAAACUUUUACAACUUUCAGCAAUGGAUCUCUUGGCUCUCGCAUCGAUGAAGAACGCAGCGAAUUGCGAUAAGUAAUGUGAAUUGCAGAUUUUCAGUGAAUCAUCGAAUCUUUGAACGCACCUUGCGCUCCUUGGUAUUCCGAGGAGCAUGCCUGUUUGAGUGUCAUCGAAUUCUCAACCAUGUCUUGAAUUAGGCAUGGCUUGGACUUGGGGGUUGCUGGCACACUGUCAGCUCUCCUGAAAUGCAUUAGCGAUGGUCAGCAAGCCUGAACGUGCACGGCCUUUUCGACGUGAUAACGAUCGUCGUGGGCUGGAGCGUAGGGCGAGCGGUGAAUCGCUUACAAUCCUCUGACCCAAGCCUCAGUUACUAGUCGGUCGUGAGGCCAACGAACACGAGGCCCAAGUCAAUCUUGAUCCUUGGACCCAAGCCUUAGUUACUAGUCGGUCGUGAGGCCGACGAAUGCAGGGCCUAGGUUAGGACC
rnacentral:rRNA from 1 species